CAAAAGCGCACAUGCUGUGAGCUCGAUGAGUAGGGCGGGACACGUGGUAUCCUGUCUGAAUAUGGGGGGACCAUCCUCCAAGGCUAAAUACUCCUGACUGACCGAUAGUGAACCAGUACCGUGAGGGAAAGGCGAAAAGAACCCCGGCGAGGGGAGUGAAACAGAACCUGAAACCGUGUACGUACAAGCAGUGGGAGCCUCUCUUUAUGGGGGGUGACUGCGUACCUUUUGUAUAAUGGGUCAGCGACUUAUAUUCUGUAGCAAGGUUAACCGCAUAGGGGAGCCGAAGGGAAACCGAGUCUUAACCGGGCGUUAAGUUGCAGGGUAUAGACCCGAAACCCGGUGAUCUAGCCAUGGGCAGGUUGAAGGUUGGGUAACACUAACUGGAGGACCGAACCGACUAAUGUUGAAAAAUUAGCGGAUGACCUGUGGCUGGGGGUGAAAGGCCAAUCAAACCGGGAGAUAGCUGGUUCUCCCCGAAAGCUAUUUAGGUAGCGCCUCGUGAAUUCAUCUCCGGGGGUAGAGCACUGUUUCGGCUAGGGGGCCAUCCCGGCUUACCAACCCGAUGCAAACUGCGAAUACCGGAGAAUGUUAUCACGGGAGACACACGGCGGGUGCUAACGUCCGUCGUGAAGAGGGAAACAACCCAGACCGCCAGCUAAGGUCCCAAAGUCAUGGUUAAGUGGGAAACGAUGUGGGAAGGCCCAGACAGCCAGGAUGUUGGCUUAGAAGCAGCCAUCAUUUAAAGAAAGCGUAAUAGCUCACUGGUCGAGUCGGCCUGCGCGGAAGAUGUAACGGGGCUAAACCAUGCACCGAAGCUGCGGCAGCGAACGUAUCA
rnacentral:rRNA from 1 species